UACGUAGGGUGCGAGCGUUACUCGGAAUUACUGGGCGUAAAGCGUGCGCAGGCGGUGAUGUAAGUCAGAUGUGAAAUCCCCGGGCUCAACCUGGGAACUGCAUUUGUGACUGCAUCGCUGGAGUGCGGCAGAGGGGGAUGGAAUUCCGGGUGUAGCAGUGAAAUGCGUAGAUAUGCGGAGGAACACCGAUGGCGAAGGCAAUGCCCUGGGCCUGCACUGACGCUCAGGCACGAAAGCGUGGGGAGCAAACAGG
rnacentral:rRNA from 1 species